rnacentral:tRNA from 1 species
GGGCCCGUAGCUCAGCGGUUAGAGCAGCGGACUCAUAAUCCGUUGGUCCCUGGUUCGAAUCCAGGCGGGCCCACCA